CCCUUUCAGGAGGAUAGCCCUUAGAAAUGAGGAUUAAUACUCCAUAGUAUAACAAUUUCGCAUGUUAUUGUUAUUAAAGCUUCGGCGGAAAGGGAUGAGCAUGCGUCCCAUUAGCUAGUUGGUAAGGUAACGGCUUACCAAGGCAACGAUGGGUAGGGGGCCUGAGAGGGUUAUCCCCCACACUGGUACUGAGACACGGACCAGACUCCUACGGGAGGCAGCAGUGAGGAAUAUUGGUCAAUGGACGGAAAUCUGAACCAGCCAUGCCGCGUGCAGGAUGACUGCCCUAUGGGUUGUAAACUGCUUUUAUAUAGGAAGAAACCCUCUUACGUGUAAGAGGCUGACGGUACUAUAAGAAUAAGGACCGGCUAACUCCGUGCCAGCAGCCGCGGUAAUACGGAGGGUCCAAGCGUUAUCCGGAUUUAUUGGGUUUAAAGGGUACGUAGGCGGAAAUUUAAGUCAGUAGUGAAAGCCCGUCGCUUAACGAUGGAACUGCUAUUGAUACUGAAUUUCUUGAAUAUAGUUGAAGUAGGCGGAAUACGGCAUGUAGCGGUGAAAUGCAUAGAUAUGCCGUGGAACACCAAUCGCGAAGCAGCUUACUAAGCUAUUAUUGACGCUAAGGUACGAAAGCGUGGG
rnacentral:rRNA from 1 species